rnacentral:rRNA from 1 species
GACGAACGCUGGCGGCGUGCUUAACACAUGCAAGUCGAACGGAAAGGCCCUGCUUUUGUGGGGUGCUCGAGUGGCGAACGGGUGAGUAACACGUGAGUAACCUGCCCUUGACUUUGGGAUAACUUCAGGAAACUGGGGCUAAUCCCGGAUAGGAGCUCCCGCUGCAUGGUGGGGGUUGGAAAGUUUCGGCGGUUGGGGAUGGACUGGCGGCUUAUCAGCUUGUUGGUGGGGUAGUGGCUUACCAAGGCUUUGACGGGUAGCCGGCACGAGAGGGUGAACGGCGACAUGGGUACUGAGGUACGGCGCAGUCGCCUACGUGAGGCAGCAGUGGGGAGUAUUGCACAGUGGGCGGGAGCCUGAUGCAGCAACGCCGCGUGCGGGAUGACGGUCUUCGGGUUGUAAACCGCAGUCGCCUGUUACGAAGCUUGAGUGACGGUAAUGGGUAAAUAAGCACCGGCUAACUACGUG